ensembl:snRNA U6 U6 spliceosomal RNA
GCUCACGUCGGCAGCCCUGGGAAUGAUACAGGGAAGAUUAGCACGGCCCCCACGCAAAGAUGACAUGCGAAUUCAUGACGUGUUCUAUAUUUUU